UACAUUGGAGUGCUUGGAUAUGCCUGGACUU
rnacentral:piRNA from 1 species